rnacentral:lncRNA from 1 species
CAGGGUUGAGAAGUUUUAUUUAUCACUCAUGUCUAUAACACCUUAAAGAAAGAAAAGCCGUAGCAGAAGCGCUUCAGGUAUUCCAAAACAACCACAGGUGCUCUUUGAGGGGAAUAUGAAUUGAAAAGCAUAUGGGAAAAUUAUAACAUCAAAUAAGUGAUAAGUGGCAUAAACAAUCAAAGUCAAGGAACCUGGUGGGUUUGAAAGUUAGGAAGCCUUUCAUUAAUGGGCUACAACAUUAUUAAAACACACUAAUGCGUAUCGGCUUAGGCCUUCAUCAGGGUGUCUGAUACAAAGUGAGUCAAGGCUAUAUAACUGCAUCUCCUCCAUUUUGUAUCAGACGCAGUAAGCCGAUACGAUUUUAAUAAUGGUGUAGCCCAUAAAUUAAAGUAUUUUUUAACUUUCAAACCCACACGAGUGCCUGGACUUGGAUAUAACAGUCCAAGGGAAGACUUCUGCAGUCAUUUUAUGUUACCUUACAUUAAUUACAUGGUACAAUAUUGAUGCAUUAUCAAUGACCUGAUCCAUAGCAAAUAAAUAUAUAUAGACCACUGAGUAUUUGAAAAACUCAUAAAUAACACAAUGUCCUUCAUUCAAUUAUGUUUGAUAUGCACAUGGUUAAAUAAAUACAAACCAAUAUCAUGAGCAUUAUGUUCACCUGUGCCAUAUUCAGUUGGGUACAAUGUAGCAACAAUUUUGCAACACAAAACAAUUCUGAAUUCUUAAAACAACUUCAGGUACUACCUUCCUGUUUCAAAAUGUUUUAUCCCAUUUCGUGCCAAUAUAAGAACAAAUUCUUAUUUACAAUGACGGCCUAGGGACAGUGGGUUAACUGCCUUGUUCAGGGGAAGAACGACAGAUUUUUGCCUUGUCAGCUCAGGGAUUCGAUCACGCAAACCUUUUGGCUACUGGCCCAACACUCUAACCACUAGGCUACCCGUCGCCCCGAGUGAAGGAAAAGCAGCCAACAAGUGCUCAGCAUAUGUGGGAACUCCUAUAAGACUAUUGGAAAAGCAUUCCAGGUGAAGCUGGUUGAGAGAAUGCCAAGAGUGUGCAAAGCUGUUAUCAAGGCAAAGAGUGUCUACUUUGAAGAAACUCAAAUAUAUUUUGAUAUGUUUAUCACUUUUUUGGUUACUGCAUGAUUCCAUGUGUUAUUUCAUAGUUUUGAUGUCUUCACUAUUAUUCUACAACGUAGAAAAUAGUAAAAAUAAAGAAAAAUCCUUCAAUGAGUAGGUGUCGCCAAACUUUUGAAUGGUACUGUAUAUAUGAAUUAUGAUAAUGCGCUAGCAUGAAGGAAGUUGUAACCAUAUUUUCCACAUUUGGCUUCCGUGUUUUAAAAGCAUUCGAAAAUGAGGUGGAUACAUAGCCAGUCAUUUCAGGUAUAGAACUGCAUUCCUAUGGAGAAAUUAUUUACUUAUAUUCUGUUGUAUUUGGACAAACUUAAAAUUGACCCAGCGUUAAGUAUGAUGUUUCACUGCCGUAACAUCAGAAAAACAUAAUACCUCAAAAAAAUGCUAUUGAGAGCUAAUCAUACCGUAUAGGUCCUUUUUGUGAUCAGUCUUUUGUUAGUCUGUAGCUACCACCGCUGCACAUAAUACUGUAAUUGUAAACAUAAUGAUUUAAAACAUGAAAAAAAAAGUUCCUGAUUAUUUUCAUCAAACACUAGAAAAAAGUACAAGGUUUAGAAGUAGAAAAGCCUGACAUUUAGACAUCAUUGCAAUGGACAUUGCUUUGAGGUGAAAGUUAUUCAAGUAUUGCAGUAAAAUUGGUCAGAGAAAUGAUGUAUUUAUUUUUUAUGAUUUGUACCUUGCAUUUGAAAAAAAUGUUAAAACGUGCAUACACUAUUAAACUGAUCAAAAUUGGUAAAAAGACAAAACAAAAAUAAAUGCUGCUGUAUUUUUGAGUUCAGACAAUCCGUUCCAGGCCUCCUGAGUGGCACAGCUAGCACUGUGAUGCAGUGCCUUAGACCACUGUGAUGCAGUGCCUUAGACCACUGUGAUGCAGUGCCUUAGACCACUGUGAUGCAGUGCCUUAGACCACUGUGCCGCAGUGCCUUAGACCACUGUGAUGCAGUGCCUUAGACCACUGUGCCACUCGGGAGGCC